UCCUACACACAAGCUCCAUUUUUUGGCUACAAGUCCCUCUCGGCUCUCUCUGGAAAAAGGGGGGGAAAAACAGACAAGGAAAAGAAGGGAGGCUCUCGGCUCUCUCUCUGGGCUCUCAACCGAAAAAAAAGAAAAAAUUUUCCCUCCCUCUCUCGGCUAGCUCUUAACAGACAGGGGACAAGCCACAAAAAAAAGGCUCUCGGCUCUCUCUGGGCUGGACCGAAAAGAAGAAGAAAAAAAAAAGAGAAAAAAACUACUUCCUCAAUCUACUCUCUCGGCUCUCACAGACGGAGGACAAGAAACAAAAACAGAGACAAGGAAAAAAGAAGGGAGGCUCUCGGCUCUCUCUCUUGGCUCUCUACCGAAAAAAGAAAGAAAGGCAUCAAAAAAACUUCAGCCAAGGCAAUUCCACUUUCAUUGAGGACAAUUUGACUCCAUUUAGUCACCACUUCAAACGGGAGGAAGUGAAGCAGAAAAGUGCUAAAAGGGAGACUUUCUUGAGAAAAAUACUACACACGUGGGAAGCUUCCAAAAGAUCUACAACCCUGGCUCCACAAUUUUGCUACAACGGAGCCCUUUCCUUUGCUGACUAGGAGUUUUACUAUCAAUAGGACACGAAAAAACAAGGAAUAGGGGAUAGUAGCUUUACCUUUUGUUUUCUUUUCCUGAUUAGAGAGGAACUAACGAGGAGAAGGCCAGUGAUUGUUUGAGAUUAGAUGGCUUUGUACGUACUUUUCCUUCGUUCCCUUUUUUGUUCCCCAUUACUCUCGACUGGAGCAAAAUUUCAAAUUCUCUUUGACUAUUCGAAAAAAGGAUACCUUUGAAAUCAAUUAAAUCGCGUGGAAAUUUUCUCAUGAGGCGUGGCUAAA